rnacentral:rRNA from 1 species
UAGGGAAUCUUCGGCAAUGGACGAAAGUCUGACCGAGCAACGCCGCGUGAGUGAAGAAGGUUUUCGGAUCGUAAAACUCUGUUGUUAGAGAAGAACAAGGACGUUAGUAACUGAACGUCCCCUGACGGUAUCUAACCAGAAAGCCACGGCUAACUACGUGCCAGCAGCCGCGGUAAUACGUAGGUGGCAAGCGUUGUCCGGAUUUAUUGGGCGUAAAGCGAGCGCAGGCGGUUUCUUAAGUCUGAUGUGAAAGCCCCCGGCUCAACCGGGGAGGGUCAUUGGAAACUGGGAGACUGGAGUGCAGAAGAGGAGAGUGGAAUUCCAUGUGUAGCGGUGAAAUGCGUAGAUAUAUGGAGGAACACCAGUAGCGAAGGCGGCUCUCUGGUCUGUAACUGACGCUGAGGCUCGAAAGCGUGGGGAGCAAACAGG